UAAGGAAUAUUGGUCAAUGGACGCAAGUCUGAACCAGCCAUGCCGCGUGAAGGAUGAAGGUCCUCUGGAUUGUAAACUUCUUUUAUCUGGGACGAAAACGGGAUUUUUAUCUCAAUUGACGGUACCAGAGGAAUAAGCACCGGCUAACUCCGUGCCAGCAGCCGCGGUAAUACGGAGGGUGCGAGCGUUAUCCGGAUUUACUGGGUUUAAAGGGUGCGUAGGUGGGCUUAUAAGUCAGUGGUGAAAUCUCCGAGCUUAACUUGGAAACUGCCGUUGAUACUAUAGGUCUUGAAUUAUCUGGAGGUUAGCGGAAUAUGCCAUGUAGCGGUGAAAUGCUUAGAUAUGACAUAGAACACCAAUUGCGAAGGCAGCUUACUACAUAUAAAUUGACUCUGAGGCACGAAAGCGUGGGGAUCAAACA
rnacentral:rRNA from 1 species